AGAGCACCAGCCCUGCUCUCGGCCAGGCCGCUGGGCUCCCGGGACACCAAGGCCCCACCGUGACACCCACCUGACAGCCAGCCGCGCCCAGCCACUGCCGAGCCCAGCAUGGCCAGCUUCCAUGUGGCUGAGCAGAAUUCAAGCGGGAUUUGGGGCGACUGAGAAUUUUGGGUCCUCCAAGCUGAUGCUGUCAUGGAAAGGUCGCUUGGAGCUUCUGGGGAAGACAGAAGAGGCCUGGCUGGAGGUGGAGGAUGCCUGGAGGGAGCUUCCAACAAAUAAGGAGCUGUGUGUGCUGGUGUGGUGGGGACCUUGAAGGAAACAAGUCUCGGGGAAGAACAAGGCGGCAGGAAAAAAAAAUGAAAAACAAAUCCUAGCCGGAGAGGGUUUUUGUGUUUUUUUGAAAUGUAAAUGACACUCCCAGAAUUGCCUAAUAGUUAAAAUGAAAGACUUAGAAAAAAAUAAAUCAAAGGCAAAAGGGA